rnacentral:rRNA from 1 species
UCGAGCGGUAGAGAGAAGCUUGCUUCUCUUGAGAGCGGCGGACGGGUGAGUAAUACCUAGGAAUCUGCCUGAUAGUGGGGGAUAACGUUCGGAAACGGACGCUAAUACCGCAUACGUCCUACGGGAGAAAGCAGGGGACCUUCGGGCCUUGCGCUAUCAGAUGAGCCUAGGUCGGAUUAGCUAGUUGGUGAGGUAAUGGCUCACCAAGGCUACGAUCCGUAACUGGUCUGAGAGGAUGAUCAGUCACACUGGAACUGAGACACGGUCCAGACUCCUACGGGAGGCAGCAGUGGGGAAUAUUGGACAAUGGGCGAAAGCCUGAUCCAGCCAUGCCGCGUGUGUGAAGAAGGUCUUCGGAUUGUAAAGCACUUUAAGUUGGGAGGAAGGGCAGUUACCUAAUACGUGAUUGUCUUGACGUUACCGACAGAAUAAGCACCGGCUAACUCUGUGCCAGCAGCCGCGGUAAUACAGAGGGUGCAAGCGUUAAUCGGAAUUACUGGGCGUAAAGCGCGCGUAGGUGGUUUGUUAAGUUGAAUGUGAAAUCCCCGGGCUCAACCUGGGAACUGCAUCCAAAACUGGCAAGCUAGAGUAUGGUAGAGGGUAGUGGAAUUUCCUGUGUAGCGGUGAAAUGCGUAGAUAUAGGAAGGAACACCAGUGGCGAAGGCGACUACCUGGACUGAUACUGACACUGAGGUGCGAAAGCGUGGGGAGCAAACAGGAUUAGAUACCCUGGUAGUCCACGCCGUAAACGAUGUCAACUAGCCGUUGGGAGUCUUGAACUCUUAGUGGCGCAGCUAACGCAUUAAGUUGACCGCCUGGGGAGUACGGCCGCAAGGUUAAAACUCAAAUGAAUUGAC